rnacentral:lncRNA from 1 species
CAAACCUCAUCCAAAAUCCAAAUGUGAUCCAAGAUCCAAACCCCAUCCAAGAUCCCAUCUCAUCCAAAAUCCAAUCUCAUCCAAGAUCCAAACAUCAUCCAAGAUCCAAUCUCAUCCAAGAUCCAAACCUCAUUCAAAAUCCAAACCUCAUCCAAGAUCCAAACACUGUCCAAAAUCCAAACCUCAUCCAAGAUCCAACCUCAUCAAGAUCCAACCAUCAUCCAAGAUCCAACCAUCAUCCAAGAUCCAAUCUCAUCCAAGAUCCAACCAUCAUCCAAGAUCCAAUCUCAUCCAAAUCCAAACACUGCCCAAGAUCCAACCAUCACCCAAAAUCCAAACCUCAUCCAAAAUCCAAUCUCAUCCAAAAUCCAAACACUGUCCAAGAUCCAAACCCCAUCCAAAAUCCAAACCUCAUCCAAGAUCCAAUCUCAUUCAAGAUCCAACCAUCAUCCAAGAUCCAAACACUGUCCAAAAUCCAAACCUCAUCCAAG